GAGACACUCUUAUGGGGCAGGACUUUCUUCAGUGGGGCUUUGGUGCUCACUGAGUCUGUCCCUUGCGUGUGUCGCU
rnacentral:pre_miRNA from 1 species